UACGUAGGGUGCAAGCGUUACUCGGAAUUACUGGGCGUAAAGCGUGCGCAGGCGGUCUUGCAAGACAGAUGUGAAAUCCCCGGGCUUAACCUGGGAACUGCAUUUGUGACUGCAAGGCUGGAGUGCGGCAGAGGGGGAUGGAAUUCCGCGUGUAGCAGUGAAAUGCGUAGAUAUGCGGAGGAACACCGAUGGCGAAGGCAAUCCCCUGGGCCUGCACUGACGCUCAUGCACGAAAGCGUGGGGAGCAAACAGG
rnacentral:rRNA from 1 species